AAGACUAUACUUUCAGGGAUCAUUUCUAUAGUUUGUUACUAGAGAAGUUUCUCUGACUGUGUAGAGCACCCGAAACCACGAGGAGGAGGUGUAGUGCUCUCUUCUGAGCGUGAAACUGACAAUUGGUGUUGUUUUUGCAACAAUCUCUUGUCAUUGAUGAUCGUUCUUCUCUUCGUAUAGAAGAGUGAGAGGAAGAGAGCACAAUCUGAGUGGU